rnacentral:rRNA from 1 species
GACGUAGGGCGCGAGCGUUGUCCGGAUUUAUUGGGCGUAAAGAGCUCGUAGGCGGCUUGUCGCGUCGACCGUGAAAACUUGGGGCUCAACCCCAAGCCUGCGGUCGAUACGGGCAGGCUAGAGUUCGGUAGGGGAGACUGGAAUUCCUGGUGUAGCGGUGAAAUGCGUAGAUAUCUGGAGGAACACCGGUGGCGAAGGCGGCAUCCUGGACCGAGAUUGACGCUGAGGCGCGAAAGCUAGGGUAGCAAACGGG